rnacentral:rRNA from 1 species
GGAUAACCUGCCCUUAGGACUGGCAUAACCCCGGGAAACUGGGGAUAAUUCCGGAUAGUUCAUGGUAGCUGGAACGCUCCAUGAUCGAAAGCUAUUGCGCCUAAGGAUGGGUCUGCGGUCUAUCAGGUAGUAGUGGGUGUAAUGUACCUACUAGCCGACGACGGAUACGGGUUGUGGGAGCAAGAGCCCGGAGAUGGAUUCUGAGACAUGAAUCCAGGCCCUACGGGGCGCAGCAGGCGCGAAAACUUUACAAUGCGGGAAACCGCGAUAAGGGGACACCGAGUGCCAGCAUCUUAUGUUGGCUGUCCGCAUGUAUAAAUCACAUGUGUUAGCAAGGGCCGGGCAAGACCGGUGCCAGCCGCCGCGGUAACACCGGCGGCCCGAGUGGUGGCCACUAUUAUUGGGUCUAAAGGGUCCGUAGCCGGUUUGGUCAGUCUUCCGGGAAAUCUGACGGCUUAACCGUUAGGCUUUCGGGGGAUACUACCAGGCUUGGGACCGGGAGAGGUAAGAGGUACUACGGGGGUAGGAGUGAAAUCUUGUAAUCCUCGUGGGACCACCAGUGGCGAAGGCGUCUUACCAGAACGGGUCCGACGGUGAGGGACGAAAGCUGGGGGCACGAACCGGAUUAGAUACCCGGGUAGUCCCAGCCGUAAACUAUGCUCGCUAGGUGUCAGGGACGGUGCGACCGUUUCUGGUGCCGCAGGGAAGCCGUGAAGCGAGCCACCUGGGAAGUACGGUCGCAAGGCUGAAACUUAA